UUCAUGUUAACUGGAAUGUGGUUGGAUUUAUGAUUAUGCACAGUUUCAGACAUCCGGGUUAUUUUUUUGCUUUCACAUAUUUGUAAACAUACAGUCUUUGUACAUAAGUGCAAAGGAGAUUUAUAUGUUUCUCUGUUUUUAUGAUCGAAUUCCAAUGCCACUUACGCCAUCUAGUGUUCGCCGGUGGUAAUGUGUCUGUGGGAGGAGACUAAAACCUGCGUGUUGGAUCCACUAAAAUAUAAUGUUAGGAGUUUAGAGGCUUAGCUGGGUGCUGGUGUGGAGCAGACGCCGCUGGUGACCAACUGACCCCUCAAACCCACAAGGAAACACGAAUAAAGCAGCAGACCAGAGCGCGAGGGCCUGCAGCCGGAGGGAGGUUCAAGAUGGAUGAGAAACGUUGUUGUGUGACGCUGUCAGUCCAGCCCUCCAGUGGACUUGUGGAUGAGAAAUUUGUUAUACUGGUCCAGAACAGCUUUCCCAGUUCCCUGUUGACCAUCUACGCCCACCAUCAGUGUGAAGACGGCUACAGCUGGCACGCAUUCGCCCACUACACUUCUGAUGCCACUGGUGCUGUGAAUGUUUCGGAAGAUUGCAGUACAGGUGGGACUUACUCGGGUGUUGAAGCUAUGGGUCUACUAUGGAGCCUCAAGCCAGUUCCAGGCAGCAAACCAGGACUCAGGAUGAGGAAGAAGAAUGUCCAGGCCCCCAUGGUGGUCACCAUAUCUGUCUACAGCGGUCACCUGACAGAGGGCUUUGAGGAUCAGGUCCCUCUGGCUGGUGUAGAAGUGGAGCGGUGGUACAUGGCUCCUGGUGUCCGGAGGAUCCCAGUCAUAGAGGAUGGACUCACUGCAACCCUCUUCCUGCCUUCAGGACCUGGACCUUUUCCUGGUCUCCUGGACCUGUGGGGCGGUGGAGGUCAGUUGGUGGAAUAUCGUGCAGCUUUGCUGGCCUCACAUGGCAUUACCUCAAUGGCAAUUGAUUACCUGACAUGUAAAUACACCAUGGAAACAGGAAAGAUUGUGGAGCAGGACUACUUUGAGAUGGCUUACAAAUUCCUCCAGAAGCACCCGAAGGUCCUCGGCAGUAGAAUCGCCAUGUUGGGUCUCUCCCUGGGCACCAGUGUCAUCCUGAAAAUGGCUGUGCAUUCUCAAAUUAUGAAGCUCAGCUGUGCCGUGUGUGUUAAUGGGAGUCAUGUGCAGCCAGUGGAUGGAUUCUUGAAGGAGUUGGUGGAUCGCUACAAUUAUCACAACACGUCAUUUAACCUUCUUUGUUCAAUAAAGAAACUGGGGGAGUGAUCGCUUUACCGAAGAUAAUAAGGUGGUCUGGCGAGAUCUCCUGCUGCCCAUCCCCACUGACCUCUCCCUCAAAGUGGAUGUGGGAAAACUCCAGUGUCCACUGAUGCUGAUUGUUGGUGAGGAUGAUCAGAACUGGUGCCCCCAUGAGUCUGCAAUGGAUGUGAGUUUCCAAAUAUCAAAAAGUUCUUGA